rnacentral:rRNA from 1 species
GAAACUGGGGAUAAUUCCGGAUAACGCACAUAUGCUGGAAUGCUUUUUGCGUAAAAUGGAUUCGUCUGCCCAAGGAUGGGUCUGCGGCCUAUCAGGUAGUAGUGGGUGUAAUGUACCUACUAGCCUACGACGGGUACGGGUUGUGAGAGCAAGAGCCCGGAGAUGGAUUCUGAGACAUGAAUCCAGGCCCUACGGGGCGCAGCAGGCGCGAAAACUUUACAAUGCGGGAAACCGUGAUAAGGGGACACCGAGUGCCAGCAUCCUAUGCUGGCUGUCCGGGUGUGUAAAAUACACCUGUUAGCAAGGGCCGGGCAAGACCGGUGCCAGCCGCCGCGGUAACACCGGCGGCCCGAGUGGUGAUCGUGAUUAUUGGGUCUAAAGGGUCCGUAGCCGGUUUGGUCAGUCCUCCGGGAAAUCUGACAGCUCAACUGUUAGGCUAUCGGAGGAUACUGCCAGACUUGGAACCGGGAGAGGUAAGAGGUACUACAGGGGUAGGAGUGAAAUCUUGUAAUCCCUGUGGGACCACCUGUGGCGAAGGCGUCUUACCAGAACGGGUUCGACGGUGAGGGACGAAAGCUGGGGGCACGAACCGGAUUAGAUACCCGGGUAGUCCCAGCCGUAAACGAUGCUCGCUAGGUGUCAGGCAUGGCGCGACCGUGUCUGGUGCCGCAGGGAAGCCGUGAAGCGAGCCACCUGGGAAGUACGGCCGCAAGGCUGAAACUUAA